GAUGAACGUUGGCGGCGUGCCUAAUACAUGCAAGUCGAACGGAGAUUGUAGCAAUACGGUCUCAGUGGCGAACGGGUGAGUAACGCGUUGGUGACCUGCCCCGAAGUGUGGAAUAACAGAUCGAAAGAGCUGCUAAUACCGCAUAAUAUCCAGAGGACUAGAUGCCUUUGGAUUAAAGGAUUUAUUCGCUUCGGGAGGGGCCUGCGUCCCAUCAGCUAGUUGGUAAGGUAAAGGCUUACCAAGGCUAUGACGGGUAGGGGACCUGAGAGGGUGGCCCCCCACAAUGGAACUGAAACACGGUCCAUACACCUACGGGUGGCAGCAGUAGGGAAUAUUAGUAAUGGGCGAAAGCCUGAACUAGCAACGCCGCGUGUGCGAAGAAGGCCUUCGGGUUGUAAAGCACUUUUUGUAGAGGAUGAGGAAGGACGGGUACUCUCAGAAUAAGUCUCGGCUAACUACGUGCCAGCAGCCGCGGUAAACUAGUAGUCGU
rnacentral:rRNA from 1 species